UACGGGGGGGGCAAGCGUUGUUCGGAAUUACUGGGCGUAAAGGGCGCGUAGGCGGCCUGCUAAGUCGGACGUGAAAUCCCUCGGCUCAACCGGGGAACUGCGUCCGAUACUGGUGGGCUCGAAUCCGGGAGAGGGAUGUGGAAUUCCUGGUGUAGCGGUGAAAUGUGCAGAUAUCAGGAGGAACACCGAUGGCGAAGGCAGGUCUCUGGGCAUUAACUGACGCUGAGGAGCGAAAGCAUGGGGAGCGAACAGG
rnacentral:rRNA from 1 species